rnacentral:rRNA from 1 species
CCUACGGGUGGCAGCAGUGGGGAAUAUUGGACAAUGGGCGAAAGCCUGAUCCAGCCAUGCCGCGUGUGUGAAGAAGGCCUUCGGGUUGUAAAGCACUUUCAGUGGGGAAGAAAGCCUUGGGGCUAAUACCCUCGAGGAAGGACAUCACCCACAGAAGAAGCACCGGCUAACUCCGUGCCAGCAGCCGCGGUAAUACGGAGGGUGCGAGCGUUAAUCGGAAUUACUGGGCGUAAAGCGCGCGUAGGCGGUCUGAUAAGCCGGUUGUGAAAGCCCCGGGCUCAACCUGGGAACGGCAUCCGGAACUGUCAGGCUAGAGUGCAGGAGAGGAAGGUAGAAUUCCCGGUGUAGCGGUGAAAUGCGUAGAGAGCGGGAGGAAUACCAGUGGCGAAGGCGGCCUUCUGGACUGACACUGACGCUGAGGUGCGAAAGCGUGGGUAGCAAACAGGAUUAGAUACCCUAGUAGUC